AUUGAACGCUGGCGGCAUGCCUUACACAUGCAAGUCGAACGGCAGCACGGGGCAACCUGGUGGCGAGUGGCGAACGGGUGAGUAAUAUUUCGGAACGUGCCCUGGAGUGGGGGAUAACGUAGCGAAAGUUACGCUAAUACCGCAUACGAUCCAAGGAUGAAAGCAGGGGACCGCAAGGCCUUGUGCUCCUGGAGCGGCCGAUAUCUGAUUAGCUAGUUGGUAGGGUAAAAGCCUACCAAGGCAUCGAUCAGUAGCUGGUCUGAGAGGACGACCAGCCACACUGGAACUGAGACACGGUCCAGACUCCUACGGGAGGCAGCAGUGGGGAAUUUUGGACAAUGGGCGCAAGCCUGAUCCAGCAAUGCCGCGUGAGUGAAGAAGGCCUUCGGGUUGUAAAGCUCUUUUGUCAGGGAAGAAACGGGGAAGGCUAAUAUCUUUCUCUAAUGACGGUACCUGAAGAAUAAGCACCGGCUAACUACGUGCCAGCAGCCGCAGUAAUAC
rnacentral:rRNA from 1 species